UGACGGUGCGGCAGGCUUACCAUGCAAGUCGAACGGUAACAGGAAGCAGCUUGCUUCUUUGCUGACGAGUGGCGGACGGGUGAGUAAUGUCUGGGAAACUGCCUGAUGGAGGGGGAUAACUACUGGAAACGGUAGCGAAUACCGCAUAACGUCCCAAGACCAAAAAGGGGGACCUUCUGGCCUCUUGCCAUCGGAUGUGCCCACAUGGGAUUAGCUAGUAGGUGGGGUAACGGCUCACCUAGGCGACAAUCCCUAGCUGGUCUGAGAGGAUGACCAGCCACACUGGAACUGAGACACGGUCCAGACUCCUACGGGAGGCAGCAGUGGGGAAUAUUGCACAAUGGGCGCAAGCCUGAUGCACCCAUGCCGCGUGUGUGAAGAAAGCCUUCGGGUUGUAAAGUACUUUCACCGGGGAGGAAGGGAGUAAAGUUAAUACCUUUGCUCUUUGACGUUACCCGCACAAAAAACACCGGCUAACUCCGUGCCACCAGCCGCGGUAAUACGGAGGGUGCAAGCGUUAAUCGGAAUUACUGGGCGUAAAGCGCACGCACGCGGUUUGUUAAGUCAGAUGUGAAAUCCCCGGGCUCAACCUGGGAACUGCCUCUGAUACUGGCAAGCUUGAGUCUCUUAGAGAGG
rnacentral:rRNA from 1 species